rnacentral:rRNA from 2 species
UGACGGGCCCCGCACAAGCAGCGGAGCGUGUGGUUUAAUUCGAUGCUACACGAAGAACCUUACCAGGGUUUGACAUACAAGUAGUAGGGAAAGGAAACUGGACCGACCCUUCGGGGAGCUUGAACAGGUGCUGCAUGGCUGUCGUCAGCUCGUGUCGUGAGAUGUUCGGUUAAGUCCGCUAACGAGCGCAACCCUCGCUGUGUGUUACAAGUGUCACACGGAACUGCCGGUCAUAAACCGGAGGAAGGUGGGGAUGACGUCAAGUCAGCAUGGCCUUUAUAUCCUGGGCUACACACACGCUACAAUGGGAAGGGACAAUAGGUUGCGAAACCGCGAGGUGGAGCCAAUCCAGCAAAACUUCCCUCAGUUCAGAUUGCAGGCUGCAACUCGCCUGCAUGAAGUUGGAGUUGCUAGUAAACGCAGGUCAGCCAUACUGCGUUGAAUACGUUCCCGGGGCUU